UGCCAUUUCAGUGGUCAUUUUUGCGUGAAACAAAUUAUACAAGCAAUAGGCAUGAUAAUUUUGUGGAUGGUGUCACUGUGGUUGCCGCCAUGUUUUGUAGUUCGAUUUGCUCAAUUGAAGGGUUCUGUACUCAUUUUGAUAACUGAGCUGUGUGUGGCAUGAUUACCUCUUACUUAUAAUGAACAGUAAUGUAUUGAUAUUAUUUUGAAAGGAAAGCCCCCUGAGCUAACUGCACAAGAUUUUUGACUGGAAAUAUGUCCAUCAGAAAUGACAAGUUUUGUGUAAGUUGCUAUCAAAUUCUGCUAAAUAAUGCAUGCCUGUAAGUAUAAUACUGUACUGCUGAAAAGUUGUCAAAGGAUUGUCUUCCAUAACUUCCUACAUCUUAUAUUUAAACUUUGCUACAAGACAGAAAGAGAGAAUGAGAGGCUGAGAGAGCGAGAAGUAAGAUAUUGAU